CUGUUAGAACGUGGAAUUUGAAAUCUGAUAUAAUAUGCUCCUUUAACGAUGUCCUUUUCAGAUUCUAAAUCCUCCUCCCAUGGCGGAGUCUCGAAGUACAAGUGUUUCCGUCAGUUCAGCCGUGACCAUUCUUUGGAUGGUUUUGUUGGGUUAUUGCACGAAAUGCUUGGAUCAACCAGAACGGAGAAUUCCAAGUCUUGGAAGGCGCUCAUCAUGGAUAAAGUGACAGUGAAAGUCAUUGUCCCAUUCAUGUAAAAUGGCAGAUAUCACCGACCAAGAAAUUUCGUGUGAGCACAACUUAAUCUUUGUCGUUCGUUUUUUUUCUCUCCUGCUUUCCAAAUUCCGGUGUAUUCCCAGUUAUUCAUGUGCAUGUCUCUUUUGUGUUAGAUACAGGAAAUCUA